GGAAAAUAUGAACAGCAGUGCAGAGAGGGGACGACACCCAACGUACCAUUAAAUUGAUGACACCACGGCGUAUGGGUGGGUGAGUCAUACCCCCUGAAAAACCGGGGGAAUGCACAGCUGGUUUUUUCUUGUAUUACUGGUAAUUCUAUUACUGAAAAACAGUGCUCGUUCUAUCAGGUAUCAGAACAGUUCCUGGCUAGUAUGGUUUACUGAUGGAAAUAACUUUGCUUAUCUAUGUAUAAUAUAUGUACAACAUGUAUAACAGAUGCCGCCUUAUCUCUUGCUGCGUAAAAAUUCAGUAAAAGGAAAUGCAUUGCUCCUACUCUAUUUCACAG
rnacentral:lncRNA from 1 species